UACGAAGGGGGCUAGCGUUGCUCGGAAUCACUGGGCGUAAAGCGCACGUAGGCGGAUUGUUAAGUCAGGGGUGAAAUCCUGGAGCUCAACUCCAGAACUGCCUUUGAUACUGGCGAUCUUGAGUCCGGAAGAGGUGAGUGGAACUCCGAGUGUAGAGGUGAAAUUCGUAGAUAUUCGGAAGAACACCAGUGGCGAAGGCGGCAUCCUGGACCGGCAUUGGACGCUGAGGCGCGAAAGCCAGGGGAGCAAAGCGGG
rnacentral:rRNA from 1 species